rnacentral:rRNA from 1 species
UACGUAGGCAGCAAGCGUUGUUCGGAGUUACUGGGCGUAAAGGGCUCGUAGGUGGCCAACUAAGUCAGACGUGAAAUCCCUCAGCUUAACUGGGGAACUGCGUCUGAUACUGGAUGGCUUGAGUUUGGGAGAGGGAUGCGGAAUUCCAGGUGUAGCGGUGAAAUGCGUAGAUAUCUGGAGGAACACCGGUGGCGAAGGCGGCAUCCUGGACCAACACUGACACUGAGGAGCGAAAGCCAGGGGAGCAAACGGG